UGCGUUGACUGGAGUCCAGCCUGCCAGACAGAAAGUUAUGGUGAAAGGAGGAACGCUAAAGGAUUUUCAUGAAAUUACUUUUUUUAAAAACAGGGAAUGACUCUACUAAUGAUGGGGUCAGCAGAUGCUCUUCCAGAAGAACCCUCAGCCAAAACUGUCUUCGUAGAAGACAUGACAGAAGAACAGUUAGCAUCUGCUAUGGAGUUACCAUGUGGAUUGACAAACCUUGGUAACACUUGUUACAUGAAUGCCACAGUUCAGUGUAUUCGUUCUGUGCCUGAACUCAAAGAUGCCCUUAAAAGCCCUUAGAGAUUUGUUUGAUUCCAUGGAUAAAACUUCUUCCAGUAUUCCACCUAUUAUUCUACUGCAGUUUUUGCACAUGGCUUUCCCACAGUUUGCCGAGAAAGGUGAACAAGGACAGUAUCUUCAACAGGAUGCUAAUGAAUGUUGGAUACAAAUGAUGCGAGUAUUGCAACAGAAAUUGGAAGCAAUAGAGGAUGAUUCUGUUAAAGAGACAGACUCCUCAUCUGCAUCGGCAGCGACACCUUCUAAAAAGAAAAGUUUAAUCGAUCAGUUCU
rnacentral:lncRNA from 1 species